GGCGGGGCAUGGAAGACCCCGGCUAUGGUUCUGGCCGCCUGACCGGCCAAUUCGGGAUCAUAACCCAGAGGUCACAAGUUCAAAUCUUGUCCCCGCUACCA
rnacentral:tRNA from 1 species